UUAACAGAUUCAAAAAUUCCUGAUAUCCAAGCUGGUAUGGAGUCUACAUUAACUAUUCUUUCCCCAAUUAUGUCUGGAAUCAGCUUUAUUCUUCAG
rfam:Clostridium halophilum strain M1 genome assembly, contig: G325DRAFT_scaffold00001.1